AAGAAGCACCGGCCAACUACGUGCCAGCAGCCGCGGUAAUACGUAGGGUGCGAGCGUUGUCCGGAAUUACUGGGCGUAAAGAGCUUGUAGGCGGUCUGUCACGUCGAUCGUGAAAACUGGCGGCUCAACCGCCAGCCUGCGGUCGAUACGGGCAGACUAGAGUACUUCAGGGGAGACUGGAAUUCCUGGUGUAGCGGUGAAAUGCGCAGAUAUCAGGAGGAACACCGGUGGCGAAGGCGUGUCUCUGGGAAGUAACUGACGCUGAGAAGCGAAAGCGUGGGUAGCGAACAGGAUUAGAUACCCUGGUAGUCCACGCCGUAAACGGUGGGUACUAGGUGUGGGUUUCCUUCCACGGGAUCCGUGCCGUAGCUAACGCAUUAAGUACCCCGCCUGGGGAGUACGGCCGCAAGGCUAAAACUCAAAGGAAUUGACGGGGGCCCGCACAAGCGGCGGAGCAUGUGGAUUAAUUCGAUGCAACGCGAAAGAA
rnacentral:rRNA from 1 species